rnacentral:rRNA from 1 species
AUUGAACGCUGGCGGCAGGCCUAACACAUGCAAGUCGAACGAGUGGCGGCCGGGUGUGUCAUGUCUGGGAAACUGCCUGAUGGAGGGGGAUAACUACUGGAAACGGUAGCUAAUCCCCCCUACCAUCGGAUUUGCCCCGAUGGGAUUUGCUAGUCGGUGGGGUAACGGCUCACCUAGGCGACGAUCCCUAGCCGGUCUGAGAGGAUGACCAGCAACACUGGAACGGAGACACGGUCCAGACUCCUACGGGAGGCAGCAGUGGGGAAUAUUGCACAAUGGGGGCAAGCCUGAUGCAGCCAGGCCGCGUGUAUGAGGAAGUCCGUCGGGUUGUAAAGUACUUUCAGCGGGGAGGCGGUACCCGCAGAAGAAGCACCGGCUAACUCCGUGCCAGCAGCCGCGGUAAUUC